GGCCUCAUCAAUCAACAACCACAUUACAUCAACACCUUGAGGGAUUGCAGAAUCCACCUCAGGCUGGAACCACACCUUUUGCAGUCCCUCGAAAGCAAGAAAUGGUGACAAAGAAGCUCGCUGGUGCUGCUUCUGAAACAGCUGCCUGGGUUACCAAUGUUGGUAUGUUGGCUUUCCAAGAUGGUGGCCGGAUUGACGACGCUGCAUCUUCGAUGUGGACCCCCGGAGGAGCCUGCCUUCUCAUUGAGGCAUAGCGGCGGUCCUACCUGGAGGGAAGCGCGUGAUGCUCAGCCUGACUGUUGCCAAGGUGAUCCUGAGGAUCUCCUCGGAGGAGUGGAGACUGCACUGUUGGAGGGAGGACACAUGGGGCGGAGGAGAUGUCCCUCCUCAUCCAGGAUCUCCACAUCACCCUGGACGUCCCUUUGCUGGAUGCUCUCCACAUCCAGGACAUAUGGAGUACACAGAGGCGCCACCUCUG